rnacentral:tRNA from 1 species
GCUCCCGAAGUGUAAGAGUCAUGCACACCGCUGUGCGAAAGCGGAGGAUCGAGGUGCAAGUCCUCGCGGGAGCACCA